ensembl:lncRNA
UCCAGCCUCUGUUUUGUUUUUGUAGAGAGACAUGCUGGACAUCAAUCAGAUUAUGAAAGACUUGGCCAGCAUGGUGCAUGAACAAGGAGACACCAUAGACAGCGUUGAAGACUACAUUCAGACCACCUCAUCACAUGUGGAAUCAGCCAAUCAGGAGCUUGCAAAAGCCAGUCAUUAUCAGAGGCAGCUGAGGAGGAGGAAAUGUUAUCUGCUAAUCGCUGGAGUGCUGCUUCUUACUUUGCUUAUCAUCAUUAUUGCAGUCUCAGCCAGAAAAUGAGAUCGAGACCACAGAAAUUGCUGUUUCCACUCCGCUGUGUUCUCUCCUCAACUUCCAAGCAAAAUGAGAGUCUAUAUGUAGGUUCAGCUGCGCUCACUUCCUCUCUUCUAAUCUCUGUCUAUACUUCUGUCGGAUUGUGUGAUCUUUUGCUGCUUACACUGUGCUCAAAAUACAUGUGUAUAUUUAUUUUUCUAGGGCGCAAAUAUAUAAACUGUGUCAAAAGUGUAACAGUGACAUUCUUUUUAGGAACAUUCUUUGUAAGGCAAUUAUUUGUUAUAAAGAAACAUAAUUGGUACAUUUCUCUUUAAAUAGUGUAACCUGCUGUCUGUGUUUACCAAAAACUAGUAUUAUAAACUGACAUUUGAAUGCAGCACUUAACCUACCAUUAUAGAAUACCUGUUGAGAGAGAAAACGGAGUUAUUGUUAUUAUUUGCAUAACCAUAAAAUCAUAAACAUUUUUUUUAAUGAAAUAUUAUUUCAAAGGUUCAGUAUUGUGUUGUAUUGCACUGCUCUUAAUAUUCAUUAUUUAAGUUGAUUUUUAAUUGUUUAUUUGCUUGCUUUUAUUAAACAGUACAAUGUAAAAACUUGC